GACGAACGCUGGCGGCGUGCCUAAUACAUACAAGUAGAACGCACAGUUUAUACCGUAGCUUGCUCCACCAUAAACUGUGAGUUGCGAACGGGUGAGUAACGCGUAGGUAACCUGCCUGGUAGCGGGGGAUAACUAUUGGAAACGAUAGCUAAUACCGCAUAAUAUUGAUUAUUGCAUGAUAAUUGAUUGAAAGAUGCUAUUGCAUCACUACCAGAUGGACCUGCGUUGUAUUAGCUAGUAGGUGAGGUAACGGCUCACCUAGGCGACGAUACAUAGCCGACCUGAGAGGGUGAUCGGCCACACUGGGACUGAGACACGGCCCAGACUCCUACGGGAGGCAGCAGUAGGGAAUCUUCGGCAAUGGACGAAAGUCUGACCGAGCAACGCCGCGUGAGUGAAGAAGGUUGUCGGAUCGUAAAGCUCUGUUGUAAGAGAAGAACGGGUGUGAGAGUGGAAAGUUCACACUGUGACGGUAUCUUACCAGAAAGGGACGGCUAACUACGUG
rnacentral:rRNA from 1 species